AAGGAAAAAAAAAAAAAAAAGAAGGAAAGAGAGAUUCUUGACAGUUAUGUAUCAUAUACAUGUCAAUUAAUGGUGUAUAGUAACCUACAAAGCUUUUGCAUCUCCUGGAAAGCAAAUCGGUGAUUACAGACCACAGGUUUACUUGUGUUUUCCAAGUCUUCCGAACUAUGCUCAACUGCAUUAUCCUUGGUGAAUGCCCUACUUCAAUGUUAAUGUCCUGACUAGGGGUAGAUAUGCCGUGGGAUGUAGCGGCUCUGAGGUUGUGCCUUCGUACCUUGGAUUGGAAACAAAGCAGAACUAAUCUGUCAUUGUGAAAGAAAUACUCCUUGUGUGUAGGGAAGAGUAGUUUUCGGUUUUAACCGAAAAAUUGAAUCGAAUCGAGUCAAUUCGGUUCAAUCGGUUUGGUUCGGUUUAUCAUUUUUUAUAAUUUUCGUUAAUUGGUUCGGUUCGAUUAUUUUCACAAAAAAUCAAAAAAAA
rnacentral:misc_RNA from 1 species